AUCCAGGUUUAAAUAAUCCUGAAAGCUGUGUGCAGUGACUAGGCAGUUCUCCUGGACAUCCUUCUCCCAUGUCACCCUCGGCAACAGAAAUCUUGGCAUCUUCUCUUGGAGCUGUCCCUGAUUUUGUUACCGGUUUUCAUCUGAAUCCACUGAGGAAUAUGAUGAUUUUGCUUUUGGUUCUUGACCACGAAUCUCUUGGUUCUGAAAGUCUUUUGAGAAAACACGGUGAGAAGUCCUUUGUCCCCCCACCCCCACCCCUGCCCACACUCUUUCAAGUUGGACUGCAUCAGGUUUCCACCAGCCUGGGCUUUGGAUUAAUUAUUAUCAGCUUAGACCUCAAUUUUGGCUUUUGGGAAGCUGAAAGGUCAAAUGUCUAUCCUAUUAUUCCUGGCAUUCUGAAUGUGCUGUGAUCAAAUGGGUUCCUGUCAAGCCCAACUGAGCUGCCAGGAUGGAGACUCAGGCACGUCCUUGCAUUUACUGUAGCGAGUCUUUCUUUGCCCCACCAGCCAGCCCCCAAAUCAUGAUGCAGAGAUUUAUUGUUAAUUAUGAAAGCUUGGCCUUAGCUUAGGCUUGUUUUUAGCUAACUCUUAUAACUUAAAUCCAACACAUUUCUAUUAAUCUAUAUGUUGCCACUGGCUUGUGGCUGUUACCCUUCUUCUUCUUCUUCUUCUUCUUCUUCUUCUUCUUCUUCUUCUUCUUCUUCUUCUUUUUUCUGAGACAGGGUUUCUCUGUGUCUUUGGAGGCUGUCCUGGAACUAGCUCUUGUAGACCAGGCUGGCCUUGAACUCACAGAGCUCCGCCUGCCUCUGCCUCCCGAGUGCUGGGCUUAAAGGCAUGUGCCACCACCGCCCGGCUGUUACCCUUCUCCUGCAUGUCUUGUUCCCAGUCUCUUGGGGUCUCCACCUUCUUCUUCCCAGCAUCCUCUCUGCCCUGAAAAUCCUGCCUAGCUAUUGGCUGUUCAGCUUUUUAUUAAACCAAUUUGAGUGACACAUCUUCACAGUGUACAAAAUGGUUAUUCCACAACAAUUUACUGCCAAUACCAAGGCAGGUCCAAACACUGGGGUACAUCUUCAAUGCAUCUCUGAGAGAAAAAAUUUUCUUAUGAACUUAUAAAAUUUUGGAAGUGUAGCCAGGCAUAAUGGCUCAUGCAGGUAAUCCCAGAAUUUGGGAAGCUGGGGUAAGAUUGCCAGGGGUUCCUGGCCAGCCUGGGGAGCAUAAUAAGUUCCAGGCCAGCCUGGACUGUACACAGAGUGAGACCCUGUCUCAAAUAAACAAAAAUAAAUAAAUAAAUGUUAAAAUUCU
rnacentral:lncRNA from 1 species